CCUACGGGAGACAGCAGUGGGGAAUAUUGCACAAUGGGGGAAACCCUGAUGCAGCGACGCCGCGUGAGUGAAGAAGGAUUUCGGUAUGUAAAGCUCUAUCAGCAGGGAAGAAAAUGACGGUACCUGAUUAAGAAGCCCCGUCUAACUACGUGCCAGCAGCCGCGGUACUACGUAGGGGGCAAGCGUUAUCCGGAUUUACUGGGGGUAAAGGGAGCGUAGACGGCAGCACAAGUCUGGUGUGAAAUCCCGGGGCUUAACCCCGGAACUGCAUUUGAAACUGUGCGGCUAGAGUGCAGGAGAGGCAGGUGGAAUUCCUAGUGUAGCGGUGAAAUGCGGAGAUAUUAGGAGGAACACCAGUGGCGAAGGCGGCCUGCCGGAGUGUAACUGACGUUGAGGCUCGAAAGCGUGGGGAGCAAACAGGAUUAGAUACCCUUGUAGUC
rnacentral:rRNA from 1 species